GGGGACUUGAACCUGGAUCACACAAGUUAUCGCUGCAAAAAUUACGCCAGGGUUAUUGCUGGGGCUCUGUGCCUGGACUAGGAAUCCACUGCUCCUGGCAGCCUUUUUUCAAGUGUCCAGACCCUUGCAGGACCCUGAAUACCUCUUCAA